rnacentral:rRNA from 1 species
GACAGAGGAUGCAAGCGUUAUCCGGAAUGAUUGGGCGUAAAGAGCUCGUAGGCGGUUUGUCGCGUCUGCCGUGAAAGUCCGGGGCUCAACUCCGGAUCUGCGGUGGGUACGGGCAGACUAGAGUGAUGUAGGGGAGACUGGAAUUCCUGGUGUAGCGGUGAAAUGCGCAGAUAUCAGGAGGAACACCGAUGGCGAAGGCAGGUCUCUGGGCCGAUACUGACGCUGAGGAGCGAAAGCGUGGGGAGCGAACAGG